AGGCUCAGGACGAACGCUGGCGGCGUGCCUAAUACAUGCAAGUCGAACGAACUCUGGUAUUGAUUGGUGCUUGCAUCAUGAUUUACAUUUGAGUGAGUGGCGAACUGGUGAGUAACACGUGGGAAACCUGCCCAGAAGCGGGGGAUAACACCUGGAAACAGAUGCUAAUACCGCAUAACAACUUGGACCGCAUGGUCCGAGUUUGAAAGAUGGCUUCGGCUAUCACUUUUGGAUGGUCCCGCGGCGUAUUAGCUAGAUGGUGGGGUAACGGCUCACCAUGGCAAUGAUACGUAGCCGACCUGAGAGGGUAAUCGGCCACAUUGGGACUGAGACACGGCCCAAACUCCUACGGGAGGCAGCAGUAGGGAAUCUUCCACAAUGGACGAAAGUCUGAUGGAGCAACGCCGCGUGAGUGAAGAAGGGUUUCGGCUCGUAAAACUCUGUUGUUAAAGAAGAACAUAUCUGAGAGUAACUGUUCAGGUAUUGACGGUAUUUAACCAGAAAGCCACGGCUAACUACGUGCCAGCAGCCGCGGUAAUACGUAGGUGGCAAGCGUUGUCCGGAUUUAUUGGGCGUAAAGCGAGCGCAGGCGGUUUUUUAAGUCUGAUGUGAAAGCCUUCGGCUCAACCGAAGAAGUGCAUCGGAAACUGGGAAACUUGAGUGCAGAAGAGGACAGUGGAACUCCAUGUGUAGCGGUGAAAUGCGUAGAUAUAUGGAAGAACACCAGUGGCGAAGGCGGCUGUCUGGUCUGUAACUGACGCUGAGGCUCGAAAGUAUGGGUAGCAAACAGGAUUAGAUACCCUGGUAGUCCAUACCGUAAACGAUGAAUGCUAAGUGUUGGAGGGUUUCCGCCCUUCAGUGCUGCAGCUAACGCAUUAAGCAUUCCGCCUGGGGAGUACGGCCGCAAGGCUGAAACUCAAAGGAAUUGACGGGGGCCCGCACAAGCGGUGGAGCAUGUGGUUUAAUUCGAAGCUACGCGAAGAACCUUACCAGGUCUUGACAUACUAUGCAAAUCUAAGAGAUUAGACGUUCCCUUCGGGGACAUGGAUACAGGUGGUGCAUGGUUGUCGUCAGCUCGUGUCGUGAGAUGUUGGGUUAAGUCCCGCAACGAGCGCAACCCUUAUUAUCAGUUGCCAGCAUUAAGUUGGGCACUCUGGUGAGACUGCCGGUGACAAACCGGAGGAAGGUGGGGAUGACGUCAAAUCAUCAUGCCCCUUAUGACCUGGGCUACACACGUGCUACAAUGGAUGGUACAACGAGUUGCGAACUCGCGAGAGUAAGCUAAUCUCUUAAAGCCAUUCUCAGUUCGGAUUGUAGGCUGCAACUCGCCUACAUGAAGUCGGAAUCGCUAGUAAUCGCGGAUCAGCAUGCCGCGGUGAAUACGUUCCCGGGCCUUGUACACACCGCCCGUCACACCAUGAGAGUUUGUAACACCCAAAGU
rnacentral:rRNA from 2 species